rnacentral:rRNA from 1 species
GACGAACGCUGGCGGCGUGCCUAAUACAUGCAAGUAGAACGCUGAAGGAGGAGCUUGCUUCUCUGGAUGAGUUGCGAACGGGUAAGUAACGCGUAGGUAACCUGCCUGGUAGCGGGGGAUAACUAUUGGAAACGAUAGCUAAUACCGCAUAAGAGUAGAUGUUGCAUGACAUUUGCUUAAAAGGUGCAAUUGCAUCACUACCAGAUGGACCUGCGUUGUAUUAGCUAGUUGGUGGGGUAACGGCUCACCAAGGCGACGAUACAUAGCCGACCUGAGAGGGUGAUCGGCCACACUGGGACUGAGACACGGCCCAGACUCCUACGGGAGGCAGCAGUAGGGAAUCUUCGGCAAUGGACGGAAGUCUGACCGAGCAACGCCGCGUGAGUGAAGAAGGUUUUCGGAUCGUAAAGCUCUGUUGUAAGAGAAGAACGAGUGUGAGAGUGGAAAGUUCACACUGUGACGGUAUCUUACCAGAAAGGGACGGCUAACUACGUG